UACGGAGGGUGCGAGCGUUGUCCGGAAUCACUGGGCGUAAAGGGCGCGUAGGCGGCGCGGAUAGUCGGCGGUGAAAGCCCGGAGCUCAACUCCGGGUCGGCCGUCGAUACUUCCGGGCUUGAGCACUGUAGAGGCAGAUGGAAUUCCGGGUGUAGCGGUGGAAUGCGUAGAGAUCCGGAAGAACACCGGUGGCGAAGGCGGUCUGCUGGGCAGUUGCUGACGCUGAUG
rnacentral:rRNA from 1 species